UGACCUCAAAUCGAGUAGGACUACCCGCUGAACUUAAGCAUAUCAAUAAGCGGAGGAAAAGAAACUAACAAGGAUUCCCCUAGUAACGGCGAGUGAAGAGGGAAGAGCUCAAAUUUUGAAUCUGGCGUCUUCGGCGUCCGAAUUGUAAUCUAGAGAAGUGUUUUCCGUGACGGACCGUGCAUAAGUCUCCUGGAAUGGAGUGUCAUAGAGGGUGAGAAUCCCGUAUAUGGCACGGACUCCCGUUGCUCUGCGAUACACUCUCGACGAGUCGAGUUGUUUGGGAAUGCAGCUCUAAAUGGGUGGUAAAUGCCAUCUAAAGCUAAAUAUUGGCGAGAGACCGAUAGCGAACAAGUACCGUGAGGGAAAGAUGAAAAGCACUUUGGAAAGAGAGUGAAACAGUACGUGAAAUUGUUGAAAGGGAAACGCUUGAAGUCAGUCGCGCCGUUCGGGAUUCAGCCUUGCUUCUGCUUGGUUUACUUCCCGUUGGGUGGGUCAACAUCAGUUUCGGUCGGAGGAGAAAGGCUUGGGGAAGGUGGCAGCAUUCGUGCUGUGUUAUAGCCCCUUGUUGUAUACUUCGACUGGGACUGAGGACCGCAGCACGCCUUUGGCCGGGGUUCGCCCACGUACGUGCUUAGGAUGUUGGCAUAAUGGCUUUAAGCGACCCGUCUUGAAACACGGA
rnacentral:rRNA from 1 species